AACGAACGCUGGCGGCGUGGAUAAGACAUGCAAGUCGAACGGGAACUUCAGCUGUAGCAAUACAGUUGAAGUUUUAGUGGCGAACGGGUGCGUAACACGUGGGCAAUCUGCCGAGAAGUGGGGGAUAGCUCGCCGAAAGGCGAAUUAAUACCGCAUAUGAUCAGCUAAGACAUCUUAGCGACAUCAAAGCCGGGGCAACCUGGCGCUUUUUGAGGAGCCCGCGGCCUAUCAGCUAGUUGGUGAGGUAACGGCUCACCAAGGCUAUGACGGGUAGCUGGUCUGAGAGGACGACCAGUCACACUGGAACUGAGACACGGUCCAGACACCUACGGGUGCAGCAGUCGAGAAUUUUUCNCAAUGGGGCAACCCUGAAGGAGCGACGCCGCGUGGAGGAUGAAGG
rnacentral:rRNA from 1 species